GUUUGAUCCUGGCUCAGAGCGAACGUUAGCGGCAGGCUUAACACAUGCAAGUCGAGCGAGAAAGGGGUUUCGGCCCCAAGUAAAGCGGCGGACGGGGUGCGUAACACGUGGAUAAUCUGCCUCGUGGCGGGGGAUAACAGCCCGAAAGGACUGCUAAUACCGCAUGUCACGAUGAAGGUCUCGGCCUUCAUACGAAAAAGAGGGCGCCGCAAGGGCUCUCACCACGAGAUGAGUCCGCGUCCCAUCAGCUAGUUGGCGGUGUAAUGGACCACCAAGGCUUAGACGGGUAGCUGGUCUGAGAGGAUGGCCAGCCACACUGGGACUGAGACACGGCCCAGACUCCUACGGGAGGCAGCAGUGGGGAAUAUUGGACAAUGGGGCGAAAGCCUGAUCCAGCCAUGCCGCGUGAGUGAUGAAGGUCUUCGGAUCGUAAAGCUCUGU
rnacentral:rRNA from 1 species